rnacentral:lncRNA from 1 species
GGCCCUGUUCUCUUUCUCUCUCUCUCGCUCAAAAUCCAAUCGAGCUCUCUCUCUCUCUCGAUUCACGGCUGCCUCGUGAGCUCCGCCGCUGCUCCUGCUGUGAAUCCGACAGUCGGCCGUCGGUUCCGGUCUCUCUCCCUCACGCUGAAGUUCCGCCGCCGCCUUGUGAAGGCCGGCGAGCGGCGCUGCUUCACUCCCUCUCUCACUUCACAUCUCUCAAGGAAAUUCUCGCCUGUUCUUCGAUCUGCUGUCGCCGCUGUCGCUUCUCCGAAAUCGGCGAGUGGAGGGGAAAGCUUGCUGUCGCACCUCCGUCUGGGAUCCGGCGAUUCAAACGGCGCCGGUCGUCGUCUGGGAGUGGCUGCUGCUUCGCCUGGAGUCGCCGCCGACUGCUGCUGUUUCGCCGGAGUCGCCGCCU